UGCUCUUGCGACACCUUUCACUGUUGCUUGUUUUACCGUCGCACCAUGGAGGCCCCGCUGUGCUACGUGCUGUACAAACUGAACCGCGGUUCGAGGGGACGGGCUGGAGGCGAACUCCCCUCGUGGCUCUUUGGUUCAGACCCAGGCACCCGUGCUGGGUUGUUAUGGCAACGGGAAGGUCCUUGAUAAUCAGUGUUGUGGCGGGGGUACGUGGGGGUUAUGCUCGGCCCAAAAUCCCCGCCACGCGGAGCAUCACGGGAGUCAAGACACCGCUCUGAGCCCCUCCCCCUGUUACCCCCCACGCAGUGGCAGUCGGAAGCUUCGCCUUCCCGUUCUCCCUCGUUCCGGAUGAGCCCCAUUCCCGGAAGUCCUCCAGCCUCGCAAUCGAUCUCUAUGGGUCAGGCCUCUCCCUCAGCCCCAUGAGCCUCUAUGGUUCUAUUUGGGAGCUAAACUCCAAACUCUCCAGCAGGCCUACGCUUCGCUUCCCGGCGCUGAUGGUCUCCUCUUCCGGUGACGCACCGUACCAGGAAGUCCUCCAGGAGACUCCCUUGGCCCGGUAGGCGAUGUACUUCCUUCCGGAGGGAUGAGGAGGAACCUUUCCCCGGAAGUCCUCUCUCUUCCCAGCGGCCGGCCUCUCUGAAGCCUAGUCCCCGGAAGUCCCGCCCCCAUUCCCGGUUCUCUAGUGACACUGACAGUUUUGUUUUACAAGCUGAAGCUGCUGCUGGCCCCUGGCUCUGCCCUGCCUUGGGGUGCGGUCUGUUCCUGCUGGGGGGUGGGACAGACAGACUCUGUGCAGAGACCCAACUGAAUGCACAGGAAAGGCAAACAGCUGGACGAGGCGGCGGAGGCGUUGGAGCUGGAGCUGGGGUAGGGGCUUACCAGGGCUCUGCUCUUAAAGGCAGAGUGCAUCCCACUGGCUGAACAAGGCAGCGCUUCCUGUCCGAUAUAAUGUACUGAGCUAGUAAAGGAGACUAGAGUCCGUUAAAUAUUUUACAUACACCUCCACCCUCCAAAUGUUAUAAUUGUCAGUGUUUGGAAGAAUCCCUUAUCAGUUUAUAUAUCUGUAUCUAACCUCACAGAACUGCAGUUAAGACAAAUUUGUGAAUGGCUAAUUGCCUGAACUGCACUGGCUUUUUCUUGUAAUCCACUGUAAAUUAUAUACUCUUCAAAAUGUUAUUACUCUUAGCAUUUCCUCAUUUAUCUUCAUUAACAUUGUGCAGAUAUUUGUCACUGCUAUUUAACUGAUAUUUUUAAUAACAAUAACCAUUAAAAAUAUUAAUAGUUGUUCCUAGCUUCAGCAGUCACAUCUCACUGUAUUUCUGGUAUAGCACUUCCUGUUUGUAUUGCAACAUUAGUUUUUAAUUCUAAAUGUUUGUGGGUUUUUCAUUUUUUUCUUCUUGUCAAUAGAUAUGGAGAACAACUGUUCAGAUUUCUUCAUACCAGCCCUUCCCAUAGUCAAAGCUGUUAACAAGUCCCCCCUCAGUCUUCUUUUCUCAAAACUAAACAUCCCUCCUUUUUUUAACCUUUCUUCAUAUGUCAAGUUUUCUAAACCUUUUAUGAUUUUUGUUGCUCUCCUCUGGACUCUCCCCAGUUUUGUCCAAAUCAAUCCUUGGAUUGGACACUGUGCUCCAGCUGAGGCCUCACCAAUGCCAAGAGAGCAGGACAGUUACUUCCCAAGUCUUGCAUAUGACACUCCUGUAAAUACACCCCCAGAAUAUUAGGCUUUUUCACAGCUGCAUUACAUUGAUGACUCACAUUUAAUUUGUGAACCACUAUAACCCCACAAUCUUUUCAGCAGUACUACCACUGAGCCAUUUCCUCCCUGCCCAUGUUGUAGUUGUGCGUUUAAUUUGUCCUUCCUAAAGAGAAGUGCAAAAUACUUUACUUACUGAAUUUCAUCUUGUUGAAUUCAGAACAAUUCCCCAAUUUGUCAAGGUCAUUGUCACCAGGCCUGGCUUCUCUGCCACUCCAAAGCAUGUGCUGCCAUGUCUUUUGCAAGGAGGUUUAUUUCCUUAACAGAGGUUAGCAAACAACCCAAAAAACAGUCUUAACUCAUUCCUUAGCCUCAGGGACCACCCCUCCCAGGAGCCUUUGGCACUCCUGCUCCUGGCCAUUUCACAGUCUCAGUCAGCUCUGCUCCUUUCUUAAAGCAACAGCCCUGGGGCUGCUUCCCUGAGCCUCUUACCCCAGAGACCCACCACAGGAGCUAGCUCCACUACAGUGUGGCUUUCUCCCCCGUGGACAUAGCUUGUCUCAGUCCAUCUCUUUCAGCUGCCCACUAGCAGCCUGUCACACUGUCUGAAGCGGCUCAUGACCAUGAAUGCCAGCCUCUGGGCAAACUAUCAAAAAGCAGUGCAGAUACAACCAGUUUUGGGUAUGUUCUAUAAAAGAGUUCACUAACCCAGUAACGAAUGUGAACUUCUGGGUCACUGUAACAGUCUUACCAUGGAGUCACAGACAGUCCCCUUGGAUAUUCCAAUCUAUCUUGCCAUCCAGGUAAGCAUACCUUUCUGAUAGAUGGGCCCUUACACCAAAGAUCACAGCAAUAUUCAGGUUACUCCCAGUCCCAAAGAACCAGUCACCUACUCCAGGUCAGUUGUAUCUCAGAUCUCACACCAAAGACAAUGCUUGUAGCCAAUCCUAUAAUAAACUAUCUAAAGAUUUAUUAACUAGGAAAAGGAAAUAAGUUAUUUUCAAGGUUAAAGCAGGUAAAGCAUGUCUCCUCUUCAUGGGGGUGAGGGAGGAGCAAUCAGUAAAGUCUUUUGUCCUCUCAUGUUCCACACUGGUUUGUCUGGUAUUGAUGGACUUGUUUCUAUGUAACUUUGGAUCUGUGAUGUAUCUGUAUCCACCCCCUGUGUUUGAGUCUGAUCAAUGCACUGUAGCAUUGCUCUAUGUCAAAUAAAGAUACCUGAAUGACAAA